AUACUCUGGUUUCUCUUCAGAUUGUGUAAAUCUUUCGCCUUUUACUAAAGAUUUCUGUGGAGAGGAACUCCUGAAAGCUGAUAACCUGGAAAAUGUUGUUUGUCUUUAAGGUGGUAAUGGA